GCCAGGCAUGGUGGCGCAUGCCUGUAAUCCCAGCAGCUAGGAGGCUGAGAAAGGAAGAUUGUGAGUUCAAAGCCAGCCUCCGCAAAACUGAGGCACUAAGUAACUCAGUGAAAACCUGUUUCUA
rnacentral:sRNA from 1 species